AGAGUUUGAUCCUGGCUCAGGAUGAACGCUAGCGACAGGCUUAACACAUGCAAGUCGAGGGGCAGCACAGGUAGCAAUACCGGGUGGCGACCGGCGCACGGGUGAGUAACGCGUAUGCAACUUACCUAUCAGAGGGGGAUAACCCGGCGAAAGUCGGACUAAUACCGCAUGAAGCAGGGGCCCCGCAUGGGGAUAUUUGCUAAAGAUUCAUCGCUGAUAGAUAGGCAUGCGUUCCAUUAGGCAGUUGGCGGGGUAACGGCCCACCAAACCGACGAUGGAUAGGGGUUCUGAGAGGAAGGUCCCCCACAUUGGUACUGAGACACGGACCAAACUCCUACGGGAGGCAGCAGUGAGGAAUAUUGGUCAAUGGGCGCGAGCCUGAACCAGCCAAGUCGCGUGAGGGAUGAAGGUUCUAUGGAUCGUAAACCUCUUUUAUAAGGGAAUAAAGUGCGGGACGUGUCCCGUUUUGUAUGUACCUUAUGAAUAA
rnacentral:rRNA from 1 species